CCCUUAGAUGCUCUGGGCCGCACGCGCGCUACACUGACGAAGUCAGCGAGCAUGUCCUACGCCGACAGGUGCGGGGAAUCUUGUCAAACUUCGUCGUGAUGGGGAUUGAUUUUUGAAAUUCUUGAUCAUAAACGAGGAAUUCCUAGUAAGCGCAAGUCAGCAGCUUGCGUUGAUUACGUCCCUGCCCUUUGUACACACCGCCCGUCGCUACUACCGAUUGAAUGGUUUAGUGAGAUCUUCGGAUUGGCGCCACUGCAGCUCAGCAAUGGGCUUGGUGGAUGCCGAAAAGUUGAUCAAACUUGAUCAUUUAGAGGAAGUAAAAGUCGUAACA
rnacentral:rRNA from 1 species